rnacentral:rRNA from 1 species
UACGGGGGGGGCAAGCGUUUGUUCGGAAUUACUGGGCGUAAAGGGCUCGUAGGUGGCCAACUAAGUCAGACGUGAAAUCCCUCGGCUUAACCGGGGAACUGCGUCUGAUACUGGAUGGCUUGAGUUCGGGAGAGGGAUGCAGAAUUCCAGGUGUAGCGGUGAAAUGCGUAGAUAUCUGGAGGAAUACCGGUGGCGAAGGCGGCAUCCUGGACCGACAUUGACGCUGAGGAGCGAAAGCUAGGGGAGCAAACGGG